rnacentral:rRNA from 1 species
ACGAACGCUGGCGGCGUGCUUAACACAUGCCCGUCGAACGGAAAGGCCCUGCUUUUGUGGGGUGCUCGAGUGGCGAACGGGUGAGUAACACGUGAGUAACCUGCCCUUGACUUUGGGAUAACUUCAGGAAACUGGGGCUAAUACCGGAUAGGAGCUCCUGCUGCAUGGUGGGGGUUGGAAAGUUUCGGCGGUUGGGGAUGGACUCGCGGCUUAUCAGCUUGUUGGUGGGGUAGUGGCUUACCAAGGCUUUGACGGGUAGCCGGCCUGAGAGGGUGACCGGCCACAUUGGGACUGAGAUACGGCCCAGACUCCUACGGGAGGCAGCAGUGGGGAAUAUUGCACAAUGGGCGGAAGCCUGAUGCAGCAACGCCGCGUGCGGGAUGACGGGCUUCGGGUUGUAAACCGCUUUCGCCUGUGACGAAGCGUGAGUGACGGUAAUGGGUAAAGAAGCACCGGCUAACUACGUG